AAGAAAUUGAAGUUAAAGUGUAAAAGACUGGGCAUUGUAAAUUGCAAGGCCUGAGUUAAAAUGUAAAGGACCAGGUAUUGUUAAGUUCCUACGCUACAUGCAAAACCUGAAAUUCCUGUAGCUGUUAAGACAAUGCUUGGAACCGCCCAGUAAAUAUUUCCCCUGAAUGCCUGGUUGUUUAAUAACUUAAGGGCCCUGUGUGGCCUUGCACGUAGGCAUCGCAGGGCCUGGAUCAAUCAGUUUGAAUGUGUACCCUGCUUUAGAACUGACCUAUCACCCCCGCCUGACCUGUUCCCGCCAAUGAAUGAACUAAUCAUGUUUAGGAGUUGUUGUUUGAUUUUCCCGCGGUGUAUGAUGAUUUGUUAAAGGAGACUGUGAUGUAUGUAAAGUCCCCGCCCUCCCCAAAAAGUGUACUUAAGCGUUGCUCAACCCCU
rnacentral:lncRNA from 1 species